ensembl:lncRNA
GGAUGCUUUUGUUACAGCACAUGGCGAGAAGAAGACGGGCUGUCAUCUCCAGCGAAGCAUCCUCCGAAGCGCAUCAGCAAAGACACGUGUUCACAAAACCAUUGUGAGAAGCGUUGACAUCAUCCGCUGGUGGUGUAUUUGUAACUACAGGAACAAUGCUGAGGAACCAGCAUCCGCUCAGCAGCUCUCUCAGCCCCACCCAGCAGCACUCAGCAUCUCUGCAGUACUUCUUCCUCAAAGAUAGAGAGAGAGAGGGAGACGGAGCGGGAGAGCGAGUAGGAAGUGGGAAGUCACCUCCGUCACUCCAUUAUCAGCAUUCCACAUCUGCUGAGGAACAUUUUCAUUUAAACAUCUGAAUAGAAGGAAAAAAGUACCAUCUAUUAAAUGAACAUCUCGUCAUCUGCCUGACCAGCUAUUUCAGGUCUCUCCAUUAGCGAGACACAACGAAUCCAUCUGACGUCCAAACUGUCAUAUCCCCGAGCCUAUAAAGAUCCCUAUAACAUGCUCAACAAUCCAAAAAAUGGAGACAAUUGAUUUUCGCCUGCCAAGAAUGAUCGUAAUAAAGUUUUACAAGCAUGACGAAUCCCCGAGGUUAUGAUCUAUGCACAUUCUCAAAGGAAAAAGAUUUCUCUCUCUCCAUCGAAUUAUCUUUAGACAAAUGGUGGCGACAGUAUAAUUGGACAUUAGUCUUAAUUCGCAUGUUACAGGAGCUGAAUUGAAUGCUCGCUCCUCUUGGCUGGACACCAAGCUCUUUUUCUCCGCACGCCGCGUUCGGUUUUUCUAAUUGUGCUUGGUGAAAGGCGGCCAUCCUAAACUGAAGAGCAUAAUUUAACUGGCCUUAAUAAAGGAUUACUAUUCAGCGUAGAGCCUAUUAUUUUCCAGCUAGACUCCCGACCGGAGAUAAAUAGGAACGGUACUCUCACCUUUUUUUUCUUUCUCUCACUUGCUUCCACUUCUCUGGAAUCUUAAGUAAAUGUAUAAGUGCAUGCGGAAACGGAUUUAGCUACUUAAAGAAAAUGAGAGGGGACCGAAGCAAAAAAGGACGCCUCGACUUUAUUCAGACGUACUGAGGAGCCUAUUAUGGCUUAUAUGUUUUUUUAAUGGGAAAAACCAUAGUUGAUCCGAGCUAAUUUCCCUUGUGCAGCUUGGGCUCUGAAAGUAAUCCAUCACCUCAGUAUGAGGUGGUGGCGGCGAGAAGCCACGUCUCUAAUGAAGCUCUCCUUCAGAGGGCUAAAGAAUCGCGCUGUCAGUCUCCGCUCAAUGCCACCCCCGACACAAUGGCCUCCCGAUUGUUGCUUUCUCUUUGUAUGUGUUAACCCAAGCAGGGCCUUAUACAAAAUGAAUGGGCUGAUGUAACCUUAGCUUUGACGGUCCCCUGCCAUCCCGAAACACCUGUCAGUCACGCUUUUGUUGUCGGCGCAGGUGAGUUUGACGUUGCGCGCCGUACAUAUUUCUGAAUCUUGCGGUUUGUGUUACGUCGUGCCAGGCGCUCCGUGACCAAGGAGGGUUUUCAGCUAGAUUUUGUUGUUGUUUUUGUUGUAGAGUCCUCCGCCCUCUGGACUGAAAGGAAAUAAGAGUGCUUCUUUCAGAGAGAAGGGGGCACAAUCCAGUCGUUCGUGUCUUCCAAGGAAGGUAGAACUAAAUGCACUCAGCUGUCCUUUUUCAAAUGUCACUAUCAAAGGUCUAGGAUGUGUGUGUGUGUGGAGAGGUUUUUAGCAGAAUGAUGUGCAAGCUAUAAGAAAAGGCCAGCUCGCUGCACCUUUCCUGCCUCGCCUUUGCUGUCGCUCUCUCUUCCGUGCAUUGAUCUGUCACUUAAAACUGAUCACUUCAUUAUCUCCCGAACGGCGAGUGUUACAUGGGAGUCGUGAGCAUGCUUAACCGAGUGCUUUCUUGUUUAUGACAGGCUUUUACACCCAAGGGUAAUGGCCUCGGUGGCUAAUGGUAAUUCAUGGAACGCAGGACUGAUGGGAAUGGAGUUUAAUGCUUGGAAACACUAAGUGUCCUAACUGUGGGACGAGUUUUGAACAGAAUGUUUGGUUUUAAAUGAUUUUGGACCAAUGAGAUUUUGUGGGCGGGGUUAUGCAGCACCGGCGCUCAGAUUUACAUGGUUGCACUAAAUAAAAUUAAAUAAAAUUGCAUAAAAUAGUAGAGUCAGUAGAGAUAGUAGUAGAGAAUAGUAGAAUUAAAAUUAUGUGUGGGGUCAAAAAUUAACAGCAAAUGCAAAAAAAGCUAAAUGCUUUAGCGCUUUAGCAAAUUUUUCAAAUCUAAUUUAAAUGACCGACUCUCAUGCCUUCAAACUACUUUGACUAGGUGGAAAAUUUCUUGCAUUUAGCUAAGCAUUAACAAAC